rnacentral:rRNA from 1 species
CCUACGGGUGGCAGCAGUGGGGAAUAUUGGGCAAUGGGCGCAAGCCUGACCCAGCAACGCAGCGUGAAGGAAGAAGGCCCUCGGGUUGUAAAAUUCUUUUAACAAGGACGAAACAAAUGACGGUACUUCAUGAAUAAGCCACGGCUAACUACGUGCCAGCAGCCGCGGUAAUACGUAGGUGGCAAGCGUUAUCCGGAUUUACUGGGUGUAAAGGGCGUGUAGGCGGGACUGUAAGUCAGAUGUGAAAAUCAUGGGCUCAACCCAUGGACUGCAUUUGAAAUUGGAGUUCUUGAGUGUUGGGGAGGCAGGCGGAAUUCGGGGUGUAGCGGUGAAAUGCGUAGAUAUACGGAAGAACUCCGGUUGCGAAGGCAGCCUGCUGGACAAUAACUGACGCUGAGGCGCGAAAGCGUGGGGAGCAAACAGGAUUAGAUACCCUGGUAGUC